AGACGCGGCUGAAGGUGUCCUGGUGUGCGUGGGCUCGGAAGGAGGGUGCAGGAGUGCUCGGCUUUCACCGGGGUCUCCGGGAGGGCAGGUGUUUUCUGAGUGGCCGAGGAGGCGCCAAGUGGUUGAGUGACCUGUCCAGGGUGUCACAGAGCGACCCACUCCGGGCCACGGGGUCUGGGGCUCCCGGCUUGCCUGGUGAGGGGCUUCCGUGUAGGCCGAGGGGGUUCUCGCUGGUGCAGAGCAGGAGAUGGGCAGGGGAGACGCGUGGACCCACUCGUGGAACGUCAUGGUUUGCAGGUGGCAAAUGUCCGUCUCCCUGAUGAACGGGCGCUUCUGGACGCGGGGACCUUAUCCACUGUAGGCCCUUGGAGAGGUCGGGCGUCGAGGAGAGGAGCCCCGGGAUCCUUGCCGAGGGUGAGGGCCGGCCGGCCCAGGAAGUGGGGAGGGCCAAGCUGGAGGGUCCCGGGUCGAGGAAGAAGGAGCGGGGAUGGGCUGGGUCACUCCUGAACAAAUCUGCUUCUCUGGAGGAGCAGAAGGAGAGUUGGGUGCGGGAUAGAGGUGAGAAGAGUGCUUGGACACACAGGCUGUGGGGUCCCCAAGAUGGUCUCACGGGUCUCUGGGAUGAGAUGCGGCUACCAAGACCCUACGUGCAGCCAGGAGACUGACCAGGCCGCUUUAAGGCUGGAAGAGACAUGGCCCUGCCAGCAUCCACCUGACAGUCCUGAGGACUGUGUGACUGGGCUCAGUCUUGACCUUCACGGGAGACCACACAGCCUGGUACACAGCAGGGGCUAUGCAGUUCUGGGUCACUUGACAGCCACUCCAGACGAGGCCGCAAGCACUGGACAUGGGGUUUUCCAGCCUUCUGGGGUGGAGCCAUCUUUCUUAGGCCAGGAUUAGUCCCUCCCCACACAGUGCCUCUGCUUGUGCUAGUGGCCUGGUGACCUCCCUUAUGCCAUCCGACGUCACCCCAACCUGCUGUUCAAACUUUAUUGUUAGAAAUUAUUUAUUUCCGGCCGGGUGCGGUGGCUCAUGCCUGUAAUCCCAGCACUUUGGGAGGCCGAGGCAGGCGGAUCACCUGAGGUCAGGAGUUCCAGACUAGCCUGAUCAAUAUGGACAAACCCCGUCUAUACUAAAAAUACAAAAGUUAGCUGGGUAUGGUGGCAGGUACCUGUAAUCCCAGCUACUCGGGAGGCUCAGGCAGGAGAAUCACUGAAACCCAGGAGGUGGAGGUUGUGGUGAGCUGAGAUUGUGCCAUUGCACUCCAGCUUGGGAAACAAGCGCAAAACUGUGCCUCAAAAAAAAAGUUAUUUCCUUCUGAAAUUGUUCUUCAAAUGUUUCUUGUCACAUACAUGCAGCAGUAAUUUGGUAGAAACAUGAGAAAUUGUGAUCCUCUGUCUUGCUCAGCUUGGCUCCCCUCCCCAACCAGCAUUAUCUGCCCGCACCCCCAAUCCCCAACAACUGAUGUGUCCUUAUCUCCCUGCCCCCUACCGCGCCCCCGUAGCAUAAUUGUAUGCCACAUAUGGGCACACCAUCACAUAUGGCUAAAAUGGGAUCACUCCGUAAUGAAUGAAUAUAUAUAUAUAUAUAUUUUUUUUUUUUGAGAUGGAGUCUCGCUCUUGUUGCCCAGGCUGGAGUGCAAUGGCGUGAUCGGGGCUCACUGCAACCUCCGCCUCCCGGGUUCAAGCGAUUCUCCUAUCUCAGCCUCCCGAGUAGCUGGGACUAUAGGCGCACACCACCAUGCCCAGCUAAUUUUUGUAUUUUUUAGUAGAGACGGUGUUUCACCAUAUUGGUCAGGCUGGUCUUGAACUUCUGACCUUAGGUGAUCCACCUGCCUUGGCCUCCCAAAGUGCUGGGAUUACAGGCAUAAGCUACCGUGCCUGGCCAAUGCUAGGCACUUUUUAUGGGCCAGGGACUGAUCUAAGUACUUUUCAUGCACACUGCUUUUCUUUUCUUUUUUUCUGAGAUGGAGUCUCACUCUGUUGCCCAGGCUGGAGUGCAGUGGCGCGAUCUCGACUCACUGCAACUUCUGCCCACAGAGUUCUAGCGAUUCUCCUGCCUCAACCUCCCGAGUAGCUGGGAUUACAGGCGCCCGCCACCGCACCCAGCUAAUUUUUUGUAUUUUUAGUGGAGACGGGGUUUCACCAUCUUGGGCAGGCUGGUCUUGAACUCCUGACCUCGUGAUCCACCCGCCUUGGCCUCCCAAAGUGCUGGGAUUACAGGUGUGAGCCACCAUGACCCACCUCAUGCACGCUGCUUUUCUAAUUUAGUGUCUUAUAAUUGUGGAGCUAUGUCUUGUGAAAAGGUAUUUCCAACAAGAUUCUCUGAGAUAGUUUUCCCAUGUGCUUUCAGUGCCUCAGGGGUGGGGUAGUCCAUAGGAGCCCCUGUUACCCAUUCAGGAGUGGGUGAGGGGAGACCCCAGGGACCAAUGCCAGCAGGAAGAGGUGGGGUGGUUGGGAGGAUGGAGAUUGCACAUGCUUGGGGACAGCUUGGAGGUGCGUGUUAGAAUUUUUCUGAGAGGGGUUAAGGUGCUGUUUUGUGAAGCACAACGAGUUAGUGAGUGCUAAAUCUCCAUGACCCCUGCCGUCUAUAUGGCUUGGAUACGUCAUGUCAACCUGACAUAAAGCCAUGGGUGAACAUUCUCUGGGACCCCACCUGUGUGUGGGGAAAAGCAAGAGAGAUCAGAUUGUUACUGUGUCUGUAUAGAAAGAAGUAGACAUAGGAGACUCCAUUUUGUUCUGUACUAAGAAAAAUUCUUCUGCCUUGAGAUUCUGUUAAUCUAUGACCUUAUCCCCAACCCCGUGCUCUCUGAAACAUGCGCUGUGUCAACUCAGGGUGAAAUGGAUUAAGGGUUGUGCAGGAUGUGCUUUGUUAAACAAAUGCUUGAAGGCAGCAUGCUCCUUAAGAGUCAUCACCACUCCCUAAUCUCAAGUACCCAGGG
rnacentral:lncRNA from 1 species